GUCGGGAUAGCUCAGUUGGUAG
rnacentral:tRNA from 5 species